GAGACACCCUUCUGGGGCAAGACUUGCUUCAGUGGGGCUUUGGUGCUCACUGAGUCUGCUCCCUGAGUGUGUCGCU
rnacentral:pre_miRNA from 1 species